GACGGACGGACGACGGACGACGGACGGACGACGGAAGGACGGACGACGGAAGGACGGACGGACGACGGACGAAAAGAAGGACGGACGGACGACGGACGGACGAGCCCGCCGAAAUCCGCACGGCCCAGGCCGCUCCCUUUAAAAAUAUUGAGGUAAAGGAAAAGGGGUAGCCCGCCGAAAAGGCCGGCGGAGAGGUCUUGAGGUCGGACGACCACGUGAGACAAUCCGCCUGGGCCCAGGCCGCUCCCCCGGGAAAACGAGAGCUGGAGAAGCCCGCCGAAAAGGCCGGCGGAGAAG
rnacentral:lncRNA from 1 species